GACGUAGGAUGCAAGCGUUGUCCGGAAUUAUUGGGCGUAAAGAGUUCGUAGGCGGUUAUCUAAGUCUGGUGUUAAAGCCCGAAGCUCAACUUCGGCAUGGCAUUGGAAACUGGAUGGCUAGAGUGUGGUAGAGGUAUCGGGAAUUCCUGGUGUAGCGGUGAAAUGCGUAGAUAUCAGGAGGAACACCGGUGGCGAAGGCGGUUCUCUGGGCCUGUUCUGACGCUGAGGAGCGAAAGCGUGGGGAGCAAACAGG
rnacentral:rRNA from 1 species